rnacentral:lncRNA from 1 species
AUAUCAAACAUCUUCCAUAUAUAAAGAUCCUGAAUCUUAAAAGCUCAUUCCUAUAAUUGCACCAAAUGAAUUUAGCGCCUGAGAAACCUAAAUCAAUCAAAUAUCUAGUAGUAAGGAACUCCCUCAACUCCCUAAUCUCUCAUGUCUCAUGAAAAGAAAUGCCAACCCUCUUCUCGUUAGUAGAGAUGAUAUAGAUGAAGUCUCGUGCGCAUAGGAUAGUUAAAUCUAGAAUUCGUUGAAGUUUCCCCCAUAAGUAGUGCCUCUUAAGCCCAUUUGUACUCCCAUACACUACUGCAAGAAUCCAAUAAGCUCUAUCUAACUGGGAA